UAUAUAUCUAAGUGUUACAAGAUACCACCCCUGGACGAAGGAAAAGUACUUCCAAAGAAGAUGCCACAUCUACAUAUGAGACAGAUAAGGCAAAUGAAAAUGAUACCACACUUCGGCACUGAGAAGUUUCGUGAUUACUCAAUGGCUUGGAUCUUGCAAGUCUUCAACCGAAGAGCUUCCCUUACUUGGGAACUUAGGGGAACACUGUUUGUACCAUACUUGACCAAUCCCGAAACUACUGAGCACCGGUCAACGUUAUUGAUCGGAUCAUAUUUAUAUAUAUUUUUACUUCAAAUUCACUCGUCUUUUCUUAGUUAGUUCCUUAUAUUUUUGAGCUAUUUACGUUAUUUUUGUGUUUAUAAGAUCUGUUAUGUAAAGAAAACAAAAAUAGCACAAAUAAGAUCUAUUUACGUUAUUUUCAUGACUGCUUUCUUUUAUUUGCUAUUGUCAAUUUGCUGAGUUAUGCUUUCCAUAUAUUUAUUUUAAGCACCACAUGAUUUCAGGUUAGUGCUUGCUUGCACACUGGAAAACUUGCUGCCUUGGUAAUUUUGGUCUCUGGAGGAAUUGUAUUACAAAUUUUGGCAGUGUGGUUGGUGAAGCAAAUAGAAAACAAAAAGAAUAAGCUGAUGGGGCGGAAAGGAGAGCACAUACAAAGGUGGAAGGCUACUUUGCAGCGUGGUGAUAGUGGAAGAAAGAAAAAAAUAAUAUAAGCUGCAAGUGCAGCAUGGUAAGUGAGUUUUGCGUGGAAGCGUAGGGAAUAAAGAGAAGCAGCAAAGCUGCUUGGAGGGGGGGCAUUUUUGUGCAGUGUGUGUGUGCUGCCUCUUGGGCAGUACCUGGAGGCCUCGGGGAAAAAUAAUAGAAGGCUGCCUUUGGGCAGCGUGAACCAGGGGGGGGAGAGGAAAGAGCUGCCUUGGCAGCACAAGAAAGAGGCGCGGAGAGAGAGGGAGGACGGACCGACAGGAGGUCAGGGCGCAAGAGAAGGGGACAGUUGCAGAAAAUAAAGGGAGGACAGAAGGCUGGCAGCACAGCUGCCUUGCGGCAGAAGGAGAAAAAGAAAAUAUAAAAAAGAAAGGUCAGCGAGGAGAGAAGGGAGAGACGCAGAGACUGGCGGGGAGAGAGGAGAGCUAAGCUGUCCUUGCAGCUUUGAACCAACACGUGCAGAGAGUCCAGUGGAGCAGCAGAAGGCGGGAACAGAGAGCAGAAGGCUUCAAUUUUCUCUCUCGGUUAAAUCUUUCCAACUUAUGUUUUACUUUCGGUUUAAUCUUUCCAAACUUCUAUUUUAUUUCUUGUAUUAAUAAUGUGUAAAUAAAACUUAUUUUGGCUAGAGGUUAAUUCAAAGCCAUGAAUAUAUUUGUAAUAUGAAUUGAUUACCUUCAGUUGUGAUUUCUGAGUUGUGAUUUAAUUUUGCUUAACUGCUUGAUAGAUAACUUAUUUUUGUAUGUCGAUUAAGGAUGCAUACUUAAUUUACAUGCAUGAAUUUGAUGCUAGAAUAUAAGUGAAUUUCACCUAAUCGUUAUGAACUUAUAUUCACAAGUAGUGAAGGUUGCUAGUCACAAUCACGUUAAGUAAAUUCUUGGCAUAAGUUUCAUGCAAAUCAUAGUAACGAGUGUCUCGUCAAUGCUUAUGUUUUUCAUAGAACUUAAUGAUUCUUGCUUGUAUCUCUAUUAUGCAAUUCAUGUAGGGAACUUGUAGGGAAUGUUUUGGGUUGUCGUAUGCAAUCAUCCAACCCAAUAACUUGUGGAAAACUAAGGGUUAAAAAAAGUGCUGUUCACGGUUAAUCUGGAGUAUUGAAAUUCACAAUUUAUUGAAAGAACAACUGAAAAUCAAUUUAGGUUGCAUAUGUGUCAUGUGUAGAGAAAAACCCUCUAGCUAGUCUGUCAUUUAUCAUUUUACCUUAAUUUUAUGUUUUUGUCAAUUCUGUAAUUUAAUUAAGUUUAAUUUACUUUUCAUCAAAACCAAACACCCAUCCAUUAUUAAAUUAUAUUAUUUAGUUAGUUUUCUUUAUUGUUAGUCUUUUAAUUUAAUUUCCGUCCAUUUCAGUUCCUAGUGUUUAAUUUAAUUGUUUUCAUUAUUUUGAGUCAUUUUAAGUGUGUUUCGAGUUAUUAGAGUUUUUAGCCUAGUUUUGUGUCCUUGAGUCUUAUUUAAUAUUUUUAAAUUAAUUUAGAAUAGAUUAGCAAUCCCUCCUAAUCCCCGGCCUAGAACGAUACCCUACUUACAUCUAUACUACAACUGUCAAAAAGAGGAUUUAAUUUGUGUGUCAAGUAAUUUUCACAUCAAAAUUUUGGCGCCGUUGCCGGGGAUUAGCAACUUUGCUAAUACUUUUAUUUUUGUUUUUUUGUUUAUGUUUAUAUUGGUGUUUGUGUAUUUUACUUUUGAUAUUUGAUUUAUUUUUCUUUCUUUGAUUUUAGGUUCAAAUGGAGCCGAGGGAAAUUUAAAGGAAAGAUGCGUCCCGCUAAAGACGUUAAAUCAAGCGCUUCUUGGGAGGCAACCCAAGCAUUCAACGAAGGGAGACUUUGGAAUCGCUAACCCAAUCAGAUUUGCAUUUUUACACCCUUAUCUUUACUGCUUUCAUUUUGUUUUGUUUAGUUAGUUGUGUUAUUUGUUUGAUUUCUGUGAGUUUGUGUUAUUUAGUUUAAGUGUGGGGGAAGGUUAACCAAAGUCUUUCUACUUUAAUUUACAUAUAAAAAAAUAAUAAUAAUAAAAAAAAUAAUAAUAAUAAUAAAAAAAAAAGAUAAAAUUUAAAAUUAAUGAUAAAAAAAAAUAAAUAAACACUUAAAAAAAAAAAAUUUACAUAAAAAAAAAAAAGUACAAAUAUUUUACAAUGAUGUAAACUAAUAGUAUUCAUUGGUCGGGUGGUGCUUCAGUAGUAGGCGGGGCUUCAGCAGUCGGCGGGGCCACAGAAGGAGGAGGCGGCAGAAGUUGAUCAGUUGGAGCUUCACUACGCGGUGCCGCUCCAGAAGACGAAGGCAGAUGUUGUUGGAACAAACCCACAAACCUCCGAUGAUCAAGUAAAAUUUGACCAUCGGUGUCCUGCAUCUGGUCAAUCUUCCUCUUCAUGCUGGUGGCAUAGCUGUGUGCGAGCUUGUGCAAUUGUUUAUUUUCAUGCUUGAGUCCUUUAAUCUCCUCUUUGAGACUCUGUAUUUCAGCCACCAACGAUUCAACGUGACGGGUUCUGGCAAAUAGGCGUUGGGCCAUGUUGGACACAGACCCCGCACACUGCACGCUAAGAGCCAGAGACUCCUUAACCGCCAAUUCAUCAGACCGUCUAGCGAGCAGUCUGUUAUCUCUGGGAGUGACAAGGUUUCGAGCCACCACCGCAGCGGUCAUGUCAUUUUUCAUCACCGAAUCCCCAACGGUAAGAGGACCGGUAGGGGAUAUGAAAGAUGGGCGCCAUAUGUUGUCUGGUGAAGGCGGAGCUGCCUCUUAACCAAUGUUCAAGUCAAAACGACGAUCGGAAGGGCCAGACAUUUUCUGAAGGUGGUGAAGAAAGAAGAGAGUCGGACUGAUUAAGAUUUUGGAAGUUUACAGGAGGGAGUGUUUACAGGAGGAAGCUCAAGUGUGUUGUGGAACAAAAUUAACGCCUCUAUAAAAAGAAGAAAUCAAAGAGGCGCUCCUCAGAAAUCGAAGAAGCGUCCUCUCGCAAAUCGAAGAGUUGGGGCUCCGUUCUCAAAAGCCGGAUUCUUUUCUCAAAAGAGGCAUUUAAUUUCUUAAAAGUUGGGCUUGCUCAGAAACCACGUGCUGAACCCCAGAUUUCGCAAGAUCAAUUCGUCCAGACGUGUUGUCACCCGUCACACGCAAACUCAGCUCUGCGAAAAUCACGGGCAGUCUGUCGAAGUGCCGAUUCCAACCAUCUGUCUCUCUCAGCCUAGUCAGCAUUUGUCACAUGCAACUGGCAGCUUUGCGAAAAUUACGGGCAGCUUUGUCAGAAAGCGCGUAAUUUGUACUAUUCAUCCAUCCACCGGCUGCCGACAAUGAGUGAGAGAACAAUUCCGGUUGUGAAGACAAGUCCUAUAAGUUUCUACCUUCGCCUUCCACAGCAAAAGCACACUCUCUCAGCACACCCUCUCAACACUUCUUCAUCUCCGAAAAUGCAUUCCCAAAGAAUCCUCCUAAGUUACUCAGUGUUCCUCAUUCCUUGGGAUACUCUUGCGAACAACCCAUCCAAAGCAAAAGUAUUUCAUAUCAUGAAGGUUGAAAGCAAGAGUAUCUCAUAUCAUGUAUUUUCCAUGUCCUUUUCCUUGUCUUUGUUCUAACCUGCAGGACAUGGAGAAAUUGCUCUCGAGUACUCGUCUUCCACUGCUGAUGUACUUCCAAAGAAGCUGCCACAUCUACCUGAAGAACAGAUAAGGCAAGCGAAAAUGAUACCAACAGCAUGUGGAGACAACGUACAGAAGAAACAAGCAGAGAAGAUGCAGCUUGCACAAUCAUCCCAGCGGAAGGAGUCCGAGCUGAAGAACUAGAGAAGCUGCCACAUCUGCUUGGAGAACAAAUAAGGAACUGCAACAUAACCAAAGAGCAAAGCUUCGCCGUACAAUAUCAUCAAAUCAUCACUUGCAAGUAAAAAGCUAAGUGUCACCCAGUUCAAGAGGAAAGCUGUGGAAAGUCAACAAGCACGACCAAUGAUCACUUAUUAGUUCUAUUCAUUGUCUUUUAUCGUGAUUUUCAAUUUUUCGUUUGCAAUUUUUAUUUUUUUAUUUUUUUAUUUUUUAAUUAAUUUUUUUGUGUUACUUAACUGAAUUAUUUCUUUUCUUUGCAGGAACUUUUGGUUAUUUCCACCCUUGAAGUUGAUUGCAGAAUUUUAGCUUGGGGGUCAUCGCUUGAUUUUACUGCAAAUUAGGGAAGUUUUCAGUCCACUUGUUUUAUUUUGUUUCUUAUUAUUUAUUUUAUUUUUAUUUGCAUUAUAGUGUUUUCUGACAUUGGGGACAAUGUCCAGUUUAAGUUUGGGGGUAAAGAGUAUAAAAAAUGAUCAAAUUGAAAUUUUUUGUACCUUCAACUACGAACGAGUUUCAUUUGUUUCCAUGUUGUUGCUUUUUGUUUUCAUAAAAAAAAAAUAUUUAAAAAAAAAAAAAAAAAUUUAAAAAUCAGAAAAUUUAAAAAAAUCCAAAAAUAUUGUCUUGUUUCCCUUAUUGUUUUGAAUUAGAUUUUUGUUAGUUUCCCGACCCAAUGAUAUAAUUAGAUCGAAUUUGAAUCAUGAUUAUCAAGAACUUAGUUAACAUGUGUUUUGUGAAAUUCCUAAUUCUCUUGUUAGUUUUGUACAUGUUUGAUCAUCUUUGAAAAACCAAAUGCACAUAGCCUUGUUGAUGUGAAACUAAAGUAUGAAUUAAAGCUUCAUAUGUGAAUUUAGUGACCAUAUAUAUCCUAUGUGAGUUUUUGAGCCUAUUGAAAGUGUGUGCAUUUUUCAUACACUCCUAUUCUUUCAUGUGUGAUGAACUUAUGUGAAAUACAUCUCUAGAACUUGCGUAACGAUCUUUCGAAAUGUUUGUCAUUUAUUGCAUGAACUUGGAAAUGAUAGAGGCAUUAGGUUUACCACCAUGGCCCAAAUAACGAUGUAUCCCAAAGAAAAAAAUGAUAUCAUUAGAUUGCCAAUUUGAGCCGUGUAUGUUGAGCCUUUUAUUUCUUAUCACCAGAUAUGUCUACCCUUAUACCUAAAACAUUUUUCCUUACCCUUUCCAAGCAAGCUAGUGAGCAAUGUGAGAUUGUCUUAUGAGAAAUGUUUGUGAAGUACUUUGAGGGUGUUGGGCAAAAGAAUAAGUGUGGGGGUAUUUCAUGUUUGUAUUAAAAAAAAAAAAAAAAAAAAAAAGAGAAAAGAAAAAGAAAAAGAAAGAUUGUAUACGAAGAAAAGAAAAAGAAAAAAUGUUUUUAAAGUUUCAGUUUAAGGGUGUGAUUGGAGGUUUCAAAAGAAUCGUUGGAGAGCUUGAGUUCUUAUAAAUCUAGACAAAAGAAUUGCUUGCAAUGUAGCUUGGAACUUGUGUUUUCCUAUUCUUUCAUUUCAAUAACCCUAUCCCUAAGCCUCAUUACAUCCAAUAAAAGUCCUCUUGAUUUAAGUUUUGCAAUUAUGACUGUGGAGAAGUGAUCUUUAUGCAAGCUUAUGGUAGAAAUUUCACAUUUGAUUCUUUGAGCGAAACACAUUAAAACUAAACACAUGUGUGAUUGAGUGCAUAUCCCGUGAGAAUGUCGCUAGUUUGCAUAUGAUGAUUUUAAAAAUAUAAAAAUUUUGAAAUUGCAUUAGCAUGGCUAUCUCACACACUACACUUCAAGGAUGAUUCAAAGAUUACUGCUAAUAUUUGAAUAAGGAAGAUGAACUUGGAUUAGUUCCUUGAUGCUAGCUAUGGUUCUUGAUGAUUUGUUUUCUUAAAUGAAAUUCUAUGAGGGUCGCAUAGGGGGAAACUAAUGUUUUUCAUGUUAGUACUUUUUCAUGUUUUCUUUGUUUUGCUCGAGGACUAGCAAAAGCUAAGUAUGGGGGUAUUGAUCGGAUCAUAUUUAUAUAUAUUUUUACUUCAAAUUCACUCGUCUUUUCUUAGUUAGUUCCUUAUAUUUUUGAGCUAUUUACGUUAUUUUUGUGUUUAUAAGAUCUGUUAUGUAAAGAAAACAAAAAUAGCACAAAUAAGAUCUAUUUACGUUAUUUUCAUGACUGCUUUCUUUUAUUUGCUAUUGUCAAUUUGCUGAGUUAUGCUUUCCAUAUAUUUAUUUUAAGCACCACAUGAUUUUAGGUUAGUGCUUGCUUGCACACUGGAAAACUUGCUGCCUUGGUAAUUUUGGUCUCUGGAGGAAUUGUAUUACAAAUUUUGGCAGUGUGGUUGGUGAAGCAAAUAGAAAACAAAAAGAAUAAGCUGAUGGGGCGGAAAGGAGAGCACAUACAAAGGUGGAAGGCUGCUUUGCAGCGUGGUGAUAGUGGAAGAAAGAAAAAAAUAAUAUAAGCUGCAAGUGCAGCAUGGUAAGUGAGUUUUGCGUGGAAGCGUAGGGAAUAAAGAGAAGCAGCAAAGCUGCUUGGAGGGGGGGCAUUUUUGUGCAGUGUGUGUGUGCUGCCUCUUGGGCAGUACCUGGAGGCCUCGGGGAAAAAUAAUAGAAGGCUGCCUUUGGGCAGCGUGAACCAGGGGGGGGGAGAGGAAAGAGCUGCCUUGGUAGCACAAGAAAGAGGCGCGG
rnacentral:lncRNA from 1 species